rnacentral:rRNA from 1 species
GACGAACGCUGGCGGCGUGCCUAAUACAUGCAAGUCGAACGCAGUGGGGACGGGUGAGUAACACGUGGGUGACCUCCCAUCAGAGGGGAUAACACUUGGAAACAGGUGCUAAACCGCUACUGAUGGAUGGACCCGCGGUGCAUUAGCUAGUUGGUGGGGUAACGGCUCACCAAGGCCACGAUGCAUAGCCGACCUGAGAGGGUGAUCGGCCACACUGGUACUGAGACACGGUCCAGACUCCUACGGGAGGCAGCAGUAGGGAAUAUUCGGCAAUGGACGAAAGCCUGACGCAGCAACGCCGCGUGAGUGAAGAAGGUCUUCGGAUCGUAAAAUUCUGUUAUUAGAGAAGCGUUAUCUAACCAGAAAGCCACGGCUAACUACGUGCCAGCAGCCGCGGUAAUAC